rnacentral:rRNA from 1 species
ACGCUCGACACCUACGGCAGGCAGCAGUGGGGAAUAUUGCACAAUGGGGGAAACCCUGAUGCAGCGACGCCGCGUGGAGGAAGAAGGUCUUCGGAUUGUAAACUCCUGUUGUUGGGGAAAAAGAGGAUGGUACCCAACAAGGAAGUGACGGCUAACUACGUGCCAGCAGCCGACGGUAAUCUGAGCGGGCUGGCAAGGC